rnacentral:tRNA from 1 species
AACUAGGUGGCUGAAAAAAGCAUAGAAUUUUUAAUUCUUAUAUGAAACCUGUUUCUCUGGUUU